rnacentral:rRNA from 1 species
UAACAAGGAUUCCCCUAGUAACUGCGAGUGAAGCGGGAAAAGCUCAAAUUUAAAAUCUGGCAGUCUUUGGCUGUCCGAGUUGUAGUCUGGAGAAGCGUUUUCCGCGUUGGACCGUGUACAAGUCUCCUGGAACGGAGCGUCAUAGAGGGUGAGAAUCCCGUCUUUGACACGGACUACCAGUGCUUUGUGAUGCGCUCUCAAAGAGUCGAGUUGUUUGGGAAUGCAGCUCAAAAUGGGUGGUAAACUCCAUCUAAAGCUAAAUAUUGGCGAGAGACCGAUAGCGAACAAGUACCGUGAGGGAAAGAUGAAAAGCACUUUGGAAAGAGAGUUAAACAGUACGUGAAAUUGCUGAAAGGGAAACGCUUGAAGUCAGUCGCGUUUGCUAGGACUCAGCCUUGCCUCGGCUUGGUGCAUUUCCUAGUAGACGGGCCAGCAUCACUUUUGGCUGCGGGAAAAAGGUCAGAGGAAUGUGGCACCUUCGGGUGUGUUAUAGCCUCUGGCUGUAUACCGUGGCUGGGAGUGAGGAUCUCAGCACGCCUUCAUGGCGGGGCUUCGGCCACCUUCGUGCUUCGGAUGCUGGCGU